rnacentral:lncRNA from 1 species
AGUGAGAUUCAACGGGAUAGAGUUUGGAGCUCACAGCCAAGAUUGAAGAGCCCUCAUUCUCCAUUAUUUCAUUUGAUCUUCACAACACCAGGAGGGGAGUCCAGAUUACCAGCUGCUGAGGUUGUAGUGAAGAAUCCUGAAAGAGCUUGUGCAGUUGGACUGAAUAGCCUGUGGGGUCUCUUCUGGUUCGGUGGUUCUGUGAGAGCUGUGUCCAGGGGACAGGAGAAAAAAGCCACCAUAGUAAUGCUUCAUUGGAGAAUGGAAGUGUCCCUUCAUUCUCAGACACUCUACCAAUAGAAUACAAACUCUGGAAGAUCUCUUCUAAGCUUGAAAUGACUAAGCUCAGGGCAGAGAAUCUGCUCUGAUGUCUCAUCUGUGGCUCAACCUAGGUAAGUCUGCUGAGGAUACCAAGGGAUGAAUAUUUUCGGCCACAGCAACUCACCAGACUUGUCCACUACAACUACAGUCUACCCCAGUGCACUUGGGUGCUCACAAAAUUAGAUUAAGGAUCCAUGAGGUAUUAGGCAAAAUGUCAUUGGCAAAGCUGUAAGUGACAGUAAAAAAGUAUACUAAUACCACAGUAGGAAAAGCAGUCCAUUCAAAGUCAGGAACACCUGGAUUUGAAUCUUGACUGUUAUUUACUAUUUUUGUGAUUUUGGAAAAAUCAGUUUAGGGCUUCUGUUUCCUUGUUUGUAAACAUGAGGGGGUUGGAUGAGACAGCCUCCUUC